UGAAUCUUUCUUGCUAGUGACACAAACUCAUCAACCCAAUCCAAGUUCUCGCUUCCGAAUAUGCAAAUCUCUCUUCCUUGUUUCACCUGAAUCUUUCAAAUGCAGGAUGAAUGCCAUCAAGCAAGAGCUGCAUAGACCAUCCAUGUUCUUCCCAAAGCUCAUCUUCUCUAGUUACUGAGAAUGGAUAUGCUUGAACACCCCAUAUCAACACCAUAUCCAUGGCAUUCAUGUUCACAAACUCCCCGUUAGUAUCCAUCACCACCACCAUUGCUUCGUCGUCUCCGUAAUGCCAUUCUCGUUUGAAAAAGUUGACUAUUGUAGAGCUCAAUAACCACGGCUGUCUUACUGAGAUCCAUGGUAAGGAAUUUGAGUAGAAAUCGAAGAUUUCUUUCUCUUCGUCUGUCCAUUUUUGGGAGGAUGGUAUUGGAAUCCAUAUGAUUUCGUAGUUUUGUUCUGUGUUGGUGUUGGAUGGAUGAUCAUAUAACUGUUGAAGCAGGAAGAAAAGUGGCUCUACUGGUGGCUGUGAUAGUAGCAGCAGUAUUACCUUUUCUUUCAGCUCGGUUAUAGCUAUCUGUCAUUGGAUGAUAAAGAAAUGUUCUUUGUACCUCAUCUUUUAUGUAAAGUAAAAGAAGAGACAUGAAAAAGAAAGAAAGAAAGGAGAAAAUGGAAAAAGAAAAAGGAUAGUUCUUUGUACUUGUCUGGAGUAUUGUUGAAGUGGUAGAUCAUCUUGUAGAGAGAAAAGUAGGUGGAGUACGUCUUGGUUGUCUUGAUGAGUCUCUGUGUUAAUGUUUCUGAGCUUUUGAUUGAUUUCUUCCUCUUUAGACAUAACAACGGAGAAGCGACAUCAGAGAUUGAUAGAAGAUCAUCUUUUGGGAAUUAUCAUCAGAACAGAACAUUUGAAAGUUACCUAUUUGUGUGCUGCAAUCUUCUACCUGCUUGUUGAGGCGGGUAUGGAGGCUGAGUAAUUGAUAUCCCAAACUAGAAAGUUCCCCUACUGCUCUUCUUGUAUCCAUGGAAAGUUCCCUUGCUGCUUUCCUUGUUUCUGUUGCCUAAGUAUUUCAGAGAAUUCCUAGCCAUGAGAAAACUCAAUGUUGUCUGCUAAUAUGCUGGAAACAAUUUCUCUGCUGCCCUUCCAAUUUUUUGGAAGGAAGAUAGGAGAAGGGUAGAAAAAAUAAAAAAUGGACCUGCUGAGUUUGCUUGAAAUGAGGGAUUUGCUGCAGGCAGGCAAGUGCACUUUUGACAACCCGGCAACUGGUUGAGUGUUGCAAUUGAUGCUGCGACGGGAUCACAGAAGGCUAGAUGAACUGGUAGCAAGAGUCCUCCAAAUGUUGCAGCAAGGACUCCUAGUACUAACACAGCUUUUGCAUCCCAUCUGUAUUCUUUCAGAAGAUCGAAUAAAGCCAUUGUUCUUGACUGGAUCUCAU